ACCUACAAGAAGAAGAUUAAACCAACUGAUUAGUUCUCCUCUGCAGCACUGUGGCAUCUGGGAUCUCCAGCGGGUUUGCAGCAUAACCUCAGGGAGCCAGAAAAUCCAGCAGAUAUUAUUGUCACUGCCUCCCAGCGGCUGAAGUAAAGAUUCACAGAAGUAACAGAAUAACCUUGCUAAGCACAGAACAUUCUACCUUUAAAUUGUAUUUUUGUACUUGCUUGUAAUAGGUCUCUGCAUCCAGGUUUACCCUUGCCAAGCAGUCACAGUACAAGGUCAUAUACCCAAGAUACUCUGUUCUAACUGUGUGAGUCAACAGCAGUAGGACUUGAUUUAAGAUUAGAUGUACCAAAUUUACUUGCCUGUUCAGGAUGCUGGUGCCUAAACCCCUUCUGGACACAACAGAGACUACAUGACACAGCCAGAGCCUGACUAGAUAGAAGGUCUCCCUUGUGAGGUGUGUGUCCUUCUGUACAGAGGUGUGUGUAUGAUGAUGGCAAAACGCUGCUGCACUGCCAGCUCUGGUGCUCCUCUCACUGAGAAGUAGACAGAUUCAGCUUAAGUGAAGGAAGAAUUCAGGGUCAAAUUUAGAACCCCAGCUGAAUCAUCUGGUCCAGAAGCCCUUUUCUUUUUAAUCUGACUGGUUUGUGGAGUGGAGGUAAUUUAAGAUACAAAUUCAGGCUAACUGCAGUGAAGAACAAUUUAAGUUAAGGAUGGUAGUGAAUCAACAAACAAGGUUUUAAUGUUGGUAUCCUCUCCACUUUUUUGGGGUCACAUAACAAUCUGUGGCAAAUCAAAAGACUAUCUCACUCA